AGCCGCCUUCUGCUUUCUAGCCGAGUCGCCCUGCACGCGCGCGAGCCACUUGUCCAAGCCGCCUUCUGCUUUCUAGCCAAGCCACCUAGCCGAUUCGCCUGUCUGUGAGCCGCCAGUCUGCUUUCGGUCCUUUUCACCUAGUUUGGAACAUCUAGGACCAAUUGAUUUUUGGAGCAUGGGAUUUCUCCUGUUAAGGGCUCAAGCGUUGCAACCUCGACCUAAGUAGGACUUCGCUACUGGGAAAGCGUGACUUUGCAGUUAGAACUCGUUGAGAAAAUCUCCAGUUUAUCCUAUUAGAGUCGUACCUGUAUAGGUGUCCUUCGAGAUCACCACCUAUUUAGGACUGCAUAGUUCGACAGGACCGACAGUCUGGCAUUGAUAUAGAUAUGAUUCAAAUGAUUCGACGAGAUCGCUCGCAGCCU